rnacentral:ncRNA from 1 species
GUUGCUGAUACCGCAAGGUUUUCUGUCAUCUGACAGAACAGACUUCCGCGUCAUGCAAGGCAUGACGCAACCGGCACCGCCGGACUUUGCUAACCCACCGGUGAAGACACCGGU